CGUCUUUCCAAGCUUACUCACUCCCUCAAAGACACACGUUUAGCUAGGCUCAAGACUUUCCCCGAUUUAUCCGUUGAGAUCCUGGAUCCGUCUGCAAAUCCCAUGUUUACGGGUGUUAGGACGUUAUAGAGAUUGGGCGGAAAUCUCUCUUGGACUGUCUAGGUUCAUCAUCAGAUAUAAGAGGUUACUGUUUUAAACAACGGAGACUGCGCAUGAGGUUCACCGCGAAAUCAUUCAAGCAACGGGCUGGAGCAGGGCAAUUCAGUGUUUGGACUGGUGUGAUCACCUUACUAUUGUUUAGCACAAAACUGUUUGGAAACAGCAACCUUGACAAAUAGACCAGUAUGACGUCACACUUCGGUACUCUAUACUGUUCGCCUUUCAAUAAAACGACUAAACGUUUUCUAAUAUUGAUACUACGAGUUGACCUCGAUUAUUAAACUUUAACUGACGUUAACAGAUCGAAAUAAUCCUUUCUCGUUAUGAAAUUGAUUUAUAGCCAUUUCUGUACAAAUUGUGCCCUCUGUUUCUUUACAAACACUAUGACUUGGCAAGAAGUGUACAUGACGUCACGAUACUACACCAUUGUGUCAAUGAACUUCAAGGUUAACGAAAAUAUGACGUUUCGUGACGUCAUAAGAACGGUCGUACUGUGUGUAUGACGGUUCCGUAUUGGUCACACGCGCGGAUGUGGACUUGUUGAAAAUAAACAAAGAAAUCUAGAUAAUUCUCAAAUGAAUGUAAUAGUAGAUAGGCAAUGUUAAAUUAUAGUUCUUUUUUCGGAAACGAAAUGAAAUUGCAUUUUUUGUUUAAUUUAUAAAAGAUAUUACCUAAGCGGUUCUAGGAAGAUGUUUAGAUAAAUCAUUUAAAUGUAUCUCAAACAUCUUCAGAAUAGAAUUCAAAAGUCCAUUUAUGAAUAUCAUUAUGGUAUAUUCUUUCAUUUUUAUAUUUUGUAUGCACAGUAGAUCAAAAUUGUGUGAAAGCCCCUUAUUAAACGGCUUCUAAAACUAAAAUUAUAUACCGAUUGUCAUUUCGUUAAAACCACUUAAUAUUCGUUUGUUUCCAUGUGUAUUCGCAGUUGUCCAACACGCAUUUUGUGUUGUUUCUCUUAUAUCAUAAUCUUCAAUUUACGCGCGAAUUGAGUUAUUACCUACUGUACAAAUACAAUUCAUAUUUAGGUAUUCUAAAAUUCACUCUCGCAAUCCAGUUAUUUCAUGCUAAAACUUUAAGUGAUUUGUCCGCAUAUAGGUUAUCAUUUGCUCAGGAGUCAACGCUCUUGAGAAAUACUUAUCGUUUUUGAGAAUUUUCCAAACGUAUUAGUUUUACUGGCAUGCUGCCCUUAAGUAUUGACCAAAGUAGGUUAUUUUUAUUGUUUUGUCAGUAAACAGAUGACAUCGAUUAAGAAAGAUGACGCCAUAUUCCAAAGGUUAAAAAGUUUGCGACAAUUAAAAGAACCCCCACUCCGUGCAUUCAAUUUUAGGUAUGACAGAGAAACAUGUUUUUAUAUCAUUUUAUGAAGAUUUAUCAAUAGCGUGCAUGAGAAUAAAAAUUACAAAGACCACAAUACUACAA